rnacentral:rRNA from 1 species
GAUGAACGCUGGCGGCGUGCCUAAUACAUGCAAGUCGAGCGAACGGACGAGAAGCUUGCUUCUCUGAUGUUAGCGGCGGACGGGUGAGUAACACGUGGAUAACCUACCUAUAAGACUGGGAUAACUUCGGGAAACCGGAGCUAAUACCGGAUAAUAUUUUGAACCGCAUGGUUCAAAAGUGAAAGACGGUCUUGCUGUCACUUAUAGAUGGAUCCGCGCUGCAUUAGCUAGUUGGUAAGGUAACGGCUUACCAAGGCAACGAUGCAUAGCCGACCUGAGAGGGUGAUCGGCCACACUGGAACUGAGACACGGUCCAGACUCCUACGGGAGGCAGCAGUAGGGAAUCUUCCGCAAUGGGCGAAAGCCUGACGGAGCAACGCCGCGUGAGUGAUGAAGGUCUUCGGAUCGUAAAACUCUGUUAUUAGGGAAGAACAUAUGUGUAAGUAACUGUGCACAUCUUGACGGUACCUAAUCAGAAAGCCACGGCUAACUACGUGCCAGCAGCCGCGGUAAUACGUAGGUGGCAAGCGUUAUCCGGAAUUAUUGGGCGUAAAGCGCGCGUAGGCGGUUUUUUAAGUCUGAUGUGAAAGCCCACGGCUCAACCGUGGAGGGUCAUUGGGAACUGGAAAACUUGAGUGCAGAAGAGGAAAGUGGAAUUCCAUGUGUAGCGGUGAAAUGCGCAGAGAUAUGGAGGAACACCAGUGGCGAAGGCGACUUUCUGGUCUGUAACUGACGCUGAUGUGCGAAAGCGUGGGGAUCAAACAGGAUUAGAUACCCUGGUAGUCCACGCCGUAAACGAUGAGUGCUAAGUGUUAGGGGGUUUCCGCCCCUUAGUGCUGCAGCUAACGCAUUAAGCACUCCGCCUGGGGAGUACGACCGCAAGGUUGAAACUCAAAGGAAUUGACGGGGACCCGCACAAGCGGUGGAGCAUGUGGUUUAAUUCGAAGCAACGCGAAGAACCUUACCAAAUCUUGACAUCCUUUGACAACUCUAGAGAUAGAGCUUUCCCCUUCGGGGGACAAAGUGACAGGUGGUGCAUGGUUGUCGUCAGCUCGUGUCGUGAGAUGUUGGGUUAAGUCCCGCAACGAGCGCAACCCUUAAGCUUAGUUGCCAUCAUUAAGUUGGGCACUCUAAGUUGACUGCCGGUGACAAGCCGGAGGAAGGUGGGGAUGACGUCAAAUCAUCAUGCCCCUUAUGAUUUGGGCUACACACGUGCUACAAUGGACAAUACAAAGGGCAGCGAAACCGCGAGGUCAAGCAAAUCCCAUAAAGUUGUUCUCAGUUCGGAUUGUAGUCUGCAACUCGACUACAUGAAGCUGGAAUCGCUAGUAAUCGUAGAUCAGCAUGCUACGGUGAAUACGUUCCCGGGUCU